GGUCCCAGGACACCUCGGGCUCCAGGGACGGGAGCGGGGCUGCUUUGGGGCUGCCUUGGGCCAUCGGGAGUGGCCAGCACGCUGGAGGCGAUGCAGUCCAGCUCGUGCUCUUCUGGGAAUGGCUUCAGGACUUUGACGAAAUCCCUACUUUGCUUCUCCACUGACCACUGGGGGAAGCCAGAUCUUGGGGAGCAGCCCUGCCCUUCUGUCUCUUUGCUCGACUUCUUCCUGCAGCUCCAGGGACCUGCUUGGUUCAGAACUGCCUGCACUGCACGCCCACCUUGCCGCACCACUCCUGCCCUGUGGGCCUUGUGUGCCUCUGCCGUGCCCGCUGCCCGUCCCCAAUAAAACCUGUGUGUCUGGCC